rnacentral:tRNA from 1 species
UUCUUAUUGGCAGAACAAUGCAUUAGAAUUAGAAUCUAAACAAAAUAAAAUC